rnacentral:rRNA from 1 species
GAGGAAUAUUGGUCAAUGGGCGAGAGCCUGAACCAGCCAAGUAGCGUGCAGGAAGACGGCCCUAUGGGUUGUAAACUGCUUUUAUAAGGGAAUAAAGUGGGUCACGUGUGACUUUUUGCAUGUACCUUAUGAAUAAGGACCGGCUAAUUCCGUGCCAGCAGCCGCGGUAAUACGGAAGGUCCGGGCGUUAUCCGGAUUUAUUGGGUUUAAAGGGAGCGUAGGCCGGAGAUUAAGCGUGUUGUGAAAGGUAGUGGCUCAACCUCUGCACUGCAGCGCGAACUGGUCUUCUUGAGUACGCACAACGUGGGCGGAAUUCGUGGUGUAGCGGUGAAGUGCUUAGAUAUCACGAAGAACUCCGAUUGCGAAGGCAGCUCACGGGAGCGCAACUGACGCUGAAGCUCGAAAGUGCGGGUAUCGAAC